AUAUUGAUAGUAUAAAUUUAUGUACAGUUGCCUUCCAAGCAAAAAGACCUAAAGGUCAAUAUA
rnacentral:tRNA from 1 species